CAAAUCUUCACUCCCACUUAUUGAAAUUUAAGAUAAAGUGGUUUAAACAAACUGCUUAUUUUUAUAUAACAUCCCAAAAAGUUGAAAAUGCCUGUUGAUGCUGGAUGCAUAUAUUGAAAUAUAUGAUAUUGAUACAAAAUUAAACAAGGUGACUGUAACUGGUAAUGUCACAACUGAAGAGGUCAUCAGGGUUCUUCACAAGAUUGGGAAACAAGCAAGUGUAUGGGAUGAAGACUCGCAAAUUAGCGAAAAUAGACUGCCAAUUCCUAGGCUAUAUUUGAAGGUCAUACCUGCAUCAUUUUUUAGCAUCAGAUAUAUUGCACUAGAGACGAUUAAUGAUACAGGCUAAACUAUUGCCCCCAAGAAAUUCCUCGAAUUGGGCUUCCAUGUUCAAGGUAUCAUCAUUACUCCUCCCUUCUUGUUCUGUUGCCCAAAGCUAAAAUAAAGUUCAAAAUAAAAAAAUCAAUUUUCCCUAAAUCAGAGUUGUUUUCAUUCCAAACCCAACCGUCCAAAUAAAAAAUCCCUAAAUCAGAAAAGCAACAUGCCUAGGAAAAGAAACUUAAAUUGGAAGAAAACAACUAAAUCUAAAAUCCAAUGGAAUUAUGGAUACACCUUCUUCAAGGAGACGACAGUGAGUGGAGAUUGGUGGAGAGUUGCCCGCCCCUGGACCCGAGCGAGCCGGCUACAAUAUGCAUUGCAGACAGGCAGCAAAUGGCAUAGGAGAUCUGGAGAUGCUAGAUUUGGGAAACGGCUGUAGAACCGUAGAAGUGGUGGCCGAUGGUGGGAGAUAGAAAGAAAAUGGUAAAGUCAUGAAGAUGAAGUGGAGUUGGCCGGUGCGGCGGUGGGAGAGCAACUGUAAGGGUCACCGGCGGUGGGCUAAUGCGGUGUGGGAGGGAGAGAUAAACAAACGAGCAUCCUUUAGAAAAAGUUGAACCCCAAC
rnacentral:lncRNA from 1 species